rnacentral:rRNA from 1 species
GUUGUCCGGAUUUAUUGGGCGUAAAGAGCGUGUAGGCGGCCAGACAGGUCCGUUGUGAAAACUGGAGGCUUAACCUUCAGACGUCGAUGGAAACCGUCUGGCUAGAGUCCGGAAGAGGAGAGUGGAAUUCCUGGUGUAGCGGUGAAAUGCGCAGAUAUCAGGAAGAACACCCGUGGCUAAGGCGGCUCUCUAGUACGGUACUGACGCUGAGACGCGAAAGCGUGGGGAGCGAACAGG